rnacentral:rRNA from 1 species
CCUACGGGUGGCAGCAGUGGGGAAUAUUGGGCAAUGGGCGCAAGCCUGACCCAGCAACGCCGCGUGAAGGAAGAAGGCUUUCGGGUUGUAAACUUCUUUUCUCAGGGACGAAGCAAGUGACGGUACCUGAGGAAUAAGCCACGGCUAACUACUUGCCAGCAGCCGCGGUAAUAAGUAGGUGGCAAGCGUUAUCCGGAUUUACUGGGUGUAAGGGCCGUGUGGGCGGGGACACAAGUCAGAUGUGAAAACCACGGGCUCAACCUGUGGCCUGCAUUUGAAACUGUGUUUCUUGAGGACUGGAGAGGCAGACGGAAUUCCUAGUGUAGCGGUGAAAUGCGUAGAUAUUAGGAGGAACACCAGUGGCGAAGGCGGUCUGCUGGACAGCAACUGACGCUGAGGCGCGAAAGCGUGGGGAGCAAACAGGAUUAGAUACCCUUGUAGUC